AGAGGGUUAGCUGAGUGGUUUUAGCGUUAAAUUUACACUUUAAAGACAGAGUUUCGAUUACUCUACCUUCUA
rnacentral:tRNA from 1 species